rnacentral:rRNA from 1 species
CCUACGGGUGGCAGCAGUGAGGAAUAUUGGUCAAUGGGCGGAAGCCUGAACCAGCCAAGUAGCGUGCAGGAUGACGGUCCUACGGGUUGUAAACUGCUUUUAUACGGGAAUAAAGCACCUUACGCGUAGGGCUUUGCAUGUACCGUAUGAAUAAGGAUCGGCUAAUUCCGUGCCAGCAGCCGCGGUAAUACGGAAGGUCCGGGCGUUAUCCGGAUUUAUUGGGUUUAAAGGGAGCGGAGGCGGCAAGUCAAGCGUGCUGUGAAAUGUCCGGGCUCAACCCGGGCCGUGCAGCGCAAACUGGCGUGCUUGAGUCCGCGGAAAGCAGGCGGAAUGCGUGGUGUAGCGGUGAAAUGCAUAGAUAUGACGAAGAACCCCGAUUGCGAAGGCAGCAUGCUGGAGCGGAACUGACGCUGAUGCUCGAAAGCGCGGGUAUCGAACAGGAUUAGAUACCCCGGUAGUC